UACGGAGGAUGCGAGCGUUAUCCGGAUUUAUUGGGUUUAAAGGGUGCGUAGGCGGGCUUUUAAGUCAGCGGUAAAAAUUCGGGGCUCAACCCCGUCCGGCCGUUGAAACUGGGGGUCUUGAGUGGGCGAGAAGAAGGCGGAAUACGUGGUGUAGCGGUGAAAUGCAUAGAUAUCACGCAGAACCCCGAUUGCGGAGGCAGCCUUCCGGCGCCCUACUGACGCUGAGGCACGAAAGUGCGGGGAUCGAACAGG
rnacentral:rRNA from 1 species